AUUGAACGCUGGCGGCAGGCCUAACACAUGCAAGUCGAACGAGUGGCGGACGGGUGAGUAAUUUCUGGAAAUCUGCCUGAUGGAGGGGUAUAACUACUGGACACUGUCGCUAAUACCGCAUACCAUCAGAUGUGCCCAGAUGGGAUUAGCUUGUGGGUGGGGUAACGGCUCACCAAGGCGACGCUCCCUCGCUGGUCUGAGAGGAUGACCAGCCACACUGGAACUGAGACACGGUCCAGACUCCUACGGGAGGCAGCAGUGGGGAAUAUUGCACAAUGGGCGCAAGCCUGAUGCAGCCAUGCCGCGUGUAUGAAGAAGGCCUGCGGGUUGUAAAGUACUUUCAGCGGGGAGGCGUUACCCGCAGAAGAAGCACCGGCUAACUCCGUGCCAGCAGCCGCGGUAAUUC
rnacentral:rRNA from 1 species